AAGAAUGGCCUUUUUGCUAUCGCGGAAGGAUGAGCCUAUGCACUAUUAGCUAGUUGGUAGAGUAAAAGCCUACCAAGGCGAAGAUGGUUAGUCGGCCUGAGAGGGUGUACGACCACAAUGGAACUGAAACACGGUCCAUACUCCUACGGGAGGCAGCAGUGGGGAAUAUUGCACAAUGGGCGCAAGCCUGAUGCAGCGACGCCGCGUGGAGGAUGAAGGCUUUCGAGUUGUAAACUCCUGUUAAGUGGGAAGAAAGACUGUUAACUAAUAAUUAGCAGGGAUGACGGUACCACUAGAGAAAGCACCGGCAAACUUCGUGCCAGCAGCCGCGGUAAUACGAAGGGUGCAAGCGUUAUUCGGAGUUACUGGGCGUAAAGAGUAUGUAGGCGGUUUGUUAAGUUAGUUGUUAAAGACCACGGCUCAACCGUGGAAAGGCAGCUGAUACUGAUGAGCUAGAGCGCAGAAGAGAGGAGUGGAAUUCCCGGAGUAGCGGUAAAAUGCGUAGAUCUCGGGAGGAACACCGGUUGCGAAGGCGGCUUCUUGGUCUGUGGCUGACGCUAAAGUACGAAAGCGUGGGGAGCAAACAGGAUUAGAUACCCUGGUAGUCCACGCUGUAAACGAUGAUCACUGGAUGUGGGUCGGGCAUAGCCUGAUCUGUGUGGAAGCUAACGCGUUAAGUGAUCCGCCUGGGAAGUACGGUCGCAAGAUUAAAACUCAAAGGAAUUGACGGGGGUCCGCACAAGCGGUGGAACGUGUGGUUUAAUUCGACACUACGCGAGGAACCUUACCUGGGUUUGACAUGUAACUGCCACUGGUAGAAAUACUGGGUUUCUAUAGAAAUAUAGAACGGUUACACAGGUGCUGCAUGGCUGUCGUCAGCUCGUGUCGUGAGAUGUUGGGUUAAGUCCUUUAACGAGCGCAACCCUUGCCGUUAGUUGCCACUCUGAAAAGAGGGGACUCUAAUGGGACUGCCUAGGAAACUAGGAGGAAGGUGGGGAUGACGUCAAGUCCUCAUGGCCCUUAUACCCAGGGCUACACACGUGUUACAAUGGCGAGUACAAAGGGAUGCGAAACCGUAAGGUGGAGCAAAUCCAAUAAAGCUCGUCUAAGUUGGGAUUGAAGUCUGCAACUCGACUUCAUGAACCUGAAAUCGCUAGUAAUCGUAUAUCAGAAUGAUACGGUGAAUACGUUCCCGGACCUUGCACACACCGCCCGUCA
rnacentral:rRNA from 1 species